rnacentral:rRNA from 1 species
GAGUUUGAUCCUGGCUCAGGAUGAACGCUGGCGGCGUGCUUAACACAUGCAAGUCGAGCGAAGCGCUUUUGCGGAUUUCUUCGGAUUGAAGCAACUGUGACUGAGCGGCGGACGGGUGAGUAACGCGUGGGUAACCUGCCUUAUACUGGGGGAUAACAGCCAGAAAUGACUGCUAAUACCGCAUAAGCGCACAGAACCGCAUGGUUCGGUGUGAAAAACUCCGGUGGUAUAAGAUGGACCCGCGUUGGAUUAGCUAGUUGGCAGGGCAGCGGCCUACCAAGGCGACGAUCCAUAGCCGGCCUGAGAGGGUGAACGGCCACAUUGGGACUGAGACACGGCCCAGACUCCUACGGGAGGCAGCAGUGGGGAAUAUUGCACAAUGGGGGAAACCCUGAUGCAGCGACGCCGCGUGAAGGAAGAAGUAUCUCGGUAUGUAAACUUCUAUCAGCAGGGAAGAUAAUGACGGUACCUGACUAAGAAGCCCCGGCUAACUACGUGCCAGCCGCCGCGGUAAUAC